rnacentral:SRP_RNA from 2 species
GGCUCGGACUCAUGCAAUUGCAACGCCCAAAUCUUGUCAGGACCUGACGGUAGCAGCAAUACGGGAUGCUUGUGAUAGGCGUGGACUCCGGGCCUUU